UCCCUGUGGACCUCCCAGCACCUCUCAUGUCAAAAGUCACAGCCCUGUAACCUUUCUCUGCCAACCCAAUUGCUAUUCCUUUCAAAAGAGCUUGACAACCACCCAAGACUGAAUAUGGAUGGACAAGAACAAUCACCAAUUUGUCUUUGACCUCAUCGUCGUUGGACUUGAAGAGCCUUGUCCGGAGCUUCACUCCAUCACUGGUCUCAAGUGUGGUGGACUCAACUGCAUAGCUUGACAUGCUUACAAGAGAUGAAAAUAAAAGCUCAGAAAUGGCAAAUUGAUGAUUGAGAGAGUUGGACAAUACCGAAGAGAAGUUUUAGAGACUUGGGUCAUAAAUUUCUAAGUUAAAUUAAGCAUAUUUUUUG
rnacentral:misc_RNA from 1 species